UACAUGGGGUGCAAACGUUGCUCGGAAUCAUUGGGCGUAAAGAGCUCGUAGGCGGUGUGUCGCGUCGGCCGUGAAAACCUGCAGCUUAACUGUGGGCUUGCGGUCGAUACGGGCAUCACUGGAGUUCGGCAGGGGAGACUGGAAUUCCUGGUGUAGCGGUGAAAUGCGCAGAUAUCAGGAGGAACACCGGUGGCGAAGGCGGGUCACUGGGAGUUUUCUGACGCUGAGGAACGAAAGCCAGGGUAGCGAACGGG
rnacentral:rRNA from 1 species